GUGGGCCUGGAGAGCGACUUGAGCAAGGUCCGGCACAAGCUCCGCAAGUUCCUCCAGAGGCGGCCCACACUGCAGUCGCUGCGGGAGAAGGGCUACAUCAAAGACCAGGUGUUCGGCUGCGCGCUGGCCGCGCUGUGUGAGCGCGAGAGGAGCCGGGUGCCACGCUUCGUGCAGCAGUGCAUCCGCGCCGUCGAGGCCCGCGGUACGUGCGCUGCGGGGGUGAGGGCGGCAGGCAUUGGGGUGCCCGCAGGCCUCCUGCCAGGACCGCAGGCUGGAGACCCCUGGAUGGACGCAGGGUCCAGGGGGAAAGUACGGGAGGCCCCGAGUGGGAGUCAUAGCAGGGACCCGUAGCCCCACCCUAUCCCCAUCCCUGAACCCGGGAUCAGCGCCUCCCUCUGGCCCAGGGCUGGACAUCGACGGGCUGUACCGCAUCAGUGGAAACCUGGCCACCAUCCAGAAGCUACGCUAUAAGGUGGACCACGAUGAGCGCCUUGACCUGGAUGACGGGCGCUGGGAGGACGUCCACGUUAUCACCGG
rnacentral:sRNA from 1 species